ACCUUGCUGAUGAGUGCUAAAUAGCAUGAAACUCGGGUCCAGGGU
rfam:Schistosoma mattheei strain Denwood, Zambia genome assembly, scaffold: SMTD_scaffold0007677